rnacentral:rRNA from 1 species
GUCCUGGCCGUAAACGAUGAGCACUGGGUCGAAGUCCCCCUCACAGGAUUUCGGUCCGUAGCGAAGUAGUUAAGUGCUCCGCCUGGGGAGGUAUGGUCGCAAGGCUGAAACUCAAAGGAAUUGACGGGGGCGUCACACAAGCGGUGGAGGAUGUGGCUUAAUUCGAGGCUACGCGAAGAACCUUAUCCCAGUCUUGACAUGCUUAGGAACCCUCCUGAAAGGGAGGGGUGCCCGCAAGGGAGCCUUUGCACAGGUGCUGCAUGGCUGUCGU